AAAACAUGUCUUUUUGAUAAAAUAUAAAGUCCAAUCUGCUCACUGAUAAUUUAAAGAGCCGCAGUAUAUUGACUGUGCAAAGGUAGCAUAAUCAAUAGUUUUUUAAUUGAGAACUUGUAUGAAAGAUUAGACGAAAAUUUAAUUUUCUUUGUUCUAUAGAAUUUAAUUUUAAUUUUAAGUGAAAAUGCUUAAUUUUUUUUAAGAGACGAGAAGACCCUAUAGAUUUUUAUUAUAAAUAUUGAGUUUUAUAUUUUUAUUUGAUAUAAUAAUUUAAUUGGGGCGAUUUUAUAAAAUAAAAAACUUAAAUUUUUAUUACCAUAAAUUAUUGAAUUUUUUGAUCUAAAAAUUUUAAAGAGAAGAUUAAAUUACCUUAGGGAUAACAGCGUAAUUUUAUUUAAGAGUUCAUAUCUAUAGUAAAGUUUGCGACCUCGAUGUUGAAUUAAGAUAAUAUAUUGGAGUAGAAAUUAAUAUAAUUAGUCUGUUCGACUAUUAAAUUCUUACGUGAUCUG
rnacentral:rRNA from 1 species